UGCUCAUUCUGUUUAGACGUCAUGUUAGACAGUUUGUUAAUAUUUUGAGUAAAGUACGUGUCAUAAAAUUUUAAUGGUAGUCUUUUUUAUAUCACUGUCUCAUUUUCUAUUUGCACUAUAAACCAGUUAAUCAUUUACAGACCUCUAACCAGAUCACCGAGUAUUUGUGGCGUGCUGUGCUUUGAUUAUUGUUAUGAAGUGAUGCAACAUGUAUCUAAAAGAAUGAAAUGAGCGCUCAUAUAGAUAGAAAUUUCAAAUUGGCUGCCUCUGUAUACAUAUAGAUGUUGACGGCAACAAGACUUUCAAUCUCACUCAAGUGGGUCAGUUGCACGGAUGGUAACUGUAAUUCACACUGGUCACUGGAAAAAGUGCGGGAAUCAAUUGUAGUUUCUCCGGUUGGUAUUUCGUAUAUUUUUUACCAAAAUGUAGCAAGUUUGAAAAAUUCAGCGGGCAAAGUAGAACACUUAAUUCAUACCUUACAUAGACAGGAACUCUUUUUGCCAGAAAGCUCAGCUGUGUUACACAGUGUAAGAAUGUGUGCAGGGUAAAUGGUGCUGCCGUGGUGUUCCAGAUUUAUGUACAUACUAGACUAAAUGUCUAUAAACUGUAAAAUUUAGGUAUGACUUCAUGCCAUAUCUAAGUAGGAGAACAAUUUAUUUUUAUAUUUAAACAAUAAUAAAAACCUGUAAGAGGGACAACACGUCAAAGGCAAUGGUUAAAUAUUAAUGAUUUUAAUUUCUUAUAUUUGCCACAAUUACUAAGCUGCUUAAAAUUGGCAAGAUUGACAGCUACAGGAUUUUUCAUAACCACAGUGUAAUGAUAUGAAAACUAUAUCAGUAUUGAUGUUCAGUUAUAAAAAUGAAACAACUGUACUACAUCAAAUACUGUUUCAGAUAUAAAAAAGUCAUGAGGUUUUUGUAAAAAAAAAAGAUAAUUGGAUAAUUUUUAAAAAUUUUAAAAUGUAUGCACUAUAAUUAUGUCCUUGAUGUAACAAUUUUUAUGACUUGAAAAGUAACACCGGCAUUAUCCCCAAGUACCGAGUGUGACAUAUUUUACAUAAAUUUUAGAUAAUAUAAUC